rnacentral:rRNA from 1 species
UACGAGGGGGGCGAGCGUUGUCCGGAAUCAUUGGGCGUAAAGCGCGCGCAGGCGGCUUCCCAAGCGCCACGUGAAAGCCCCGGGCUCAACCCGGGAGGGUCGCGGCGAACUGGGAGGCUUGAGGCCGGUAGAGGUGGGUGGAACUCCUGGUGGAGUGGUGAAAUGCGUAGAGAUCAGGAAGAACACCCGUGGCGAAGGCGGCCCACUGGGCCGGUGCUGACGCUGAGGCGCGAAGGCGUGGGGAGCGAACGGG